GCGUGCUUAACACAUGCAAGUCGAACGGACCUUCGGGUCAGUGGCGGACGGGUGAGUAACGCGUGAGAAUCUGCCCUGCAGGGAGGGGGAUAACGGCUGGAAACGGCCGCUAAUACCCCAUAUGCCGCGAGGUGAAAUGAAUUUCGCCUGAGGAUGAGCUCGCGUCUGAUUAGCUAGUUGGUGGGGUAAAGGCCUACCAAGGCGACGAUCAGUAGCUGGUCUGAGAGGAUGAUCAGCGCACACUGGGGACUGAGACACGGCCCAGGACUCCUACGGGAGGCAGCAGUGGGGAAUUUUCCGCAAUGGGCGAAAGCCUGACGGAGCAACGCCGCGUGAGGGGUGAAGGCCUCUGGGCUGUAAACCUCUUUUCUCA
rnacentral:rRNA from 1 species